rnacentral:lncRNA from 1 species
GUACCGUUGCCGGAUUGCGUUCCACCCCGACCACCGAGGAAAAGGAGAUAAAGGGUACAGCAGCAAAGCACCCCACCACGCCAGACUGCCCGUCACCGUACUGCAUGUACGACGUGGUGCCACCGCGCGCUAGAUUACAGAUAAUUUUCGAGCUGGUUAAUGCUGGUGUGUGCUCUCUCUCUCUCCCCUCACAUGUCUCCUCCUGCGCACCUCCUGCCCCCCAGCCGCACUACAUGCGCCGCCCUUUUCAUGAACGUCACGCGGGUCGCGUCGAUUGAAUCCUUUCCUUUCUUUUGUGUCCCAUUCGUCG